rfam:Beta vulgaris subsp. vulgaris Bvchr3_un.sca007.con0023.1, whole genome shotgun sequence.
AAACCAUAAUGAGGACAAAGGCGUUGCAGAUCCAUAAGUCUUUCCCAAGCUUCAUACAAUGACUCACUUGAAUCUUGUAUGAAAGUCAUUAUCGCAUGACGUAU